rnacentral:rRNA from 1 species
AUACGGAGGAUCCGAGCGUUAUCCGGAUUUAUUGGGUUUAAAGGGAGCGUAGGUGGGAUAUUAAGUCAGCUGUGAAAGUUUGGGGCUCAACCUUAAAAUUGCAGUUGAUACUGGUUUCCUUGAGUACGGUACAGGUGGGCGGAAUUCGUGGUGUAGCGGUGAAAUGCUUAGAUAUCACGAAGAACUCCGAUCGCGAAGGCAGCUCACCGGGCCGGAACUGACACUGAUGCUCGAAAGUGCGGGUAUCAAACAGGAUUAGAUACCCUGGUAGUCCGCACAGUAAACGAUGAAUACUCGCUGUUUGCGAUACACUGUAAGCGGCCAAGCGAAAGCGUUAAGUAAUCCACCUGGGGAGUACGCCGGCAACGGUGAAACUCAAAUGAAUUGGCGGGG